rnacentral:rRNA from 1 species
UGGCUCGGGUGGCGAACGGGUGAGUAACACGUGAGUAACCUGCCCUUGACUUUGGGAUAACUUCAGGAAACUGGGGCUAAUACCGGAUAGGAGCUCCUGCUGCAUGGUGGGGGUUGGAAAGUUUCGGCGGUUGGGGAUGGACUCGCGGCUUACCAGCUUGUUGGUGGGGUAGUGGCUUACCAAGGCUUUGACGGGUAGCCGGCCUGAGAGGGUGACCGGCCACAUUGGGACUGAGAUACGGCCCAG